AACAGAAAUCAGUGUCAGAGUUUAAAACCUGGGCUAAGGUUACACCUGGUAUUAACAUCCAUUUUGUGUGAUGCGGUUACAAAUAUUGAUGUAAACGGGUUAUAAACUUUUUUUGAAAGAAAUUAACACUUGUAUUCAGCAAAGAUGCAUUAAAUUGAUCAAAAUGACAGUAAAGACCUUUAUAAUGUUACACAAAUUUCUAUUUCAAAUAAAUGCUGUUCUUUUGAUUUUUUUUUUUAAUUCAUCAUGGAAUCCUGAAAAAAUGUUUCCACAAAAAUAUUAGGUAGCACAACUGUUAAACAUUUAUAAUAAUAAGAAAUGUAGGGCUGUCACUAACGAUUAUUUUGGUAAUUGAGUAAUCAGUCGAUUAUUUUGAUGAUCAAUCAGGUAAUCUAUAGAUUAUUGUGAUGAUUAAUUGGGUAAUCUGUCGACGGUUAAUGGGUGAUCUGUCAACUAUUUUGACGAUUAAUCAGGUAAUCUGUCGACUAUUUUGACGAAUUAAAUGGGUAAUCUGUCGACUAUUUUGACGGUUGAUGGGUAAUCUGUUGACUAUUUUGACUGUUAAUCGGGUAAUCUGUUGACUAUUUUGAUUGUUAAUCGGGUAAUCUAUUAUUUUUUGUGGUUUUUGGAUCAAAUCCUUGAUCAAAUCCAAACAACAUUUAAUUCAAAUGUCCACUUAACCUUUAAUAUACACUAUAUUGACAAAAGUUUUGGGACGCCUGCCUUUACGUGCACAUGAACUUUAAUGACAUCCCAUUCUUAAUCCGUAGGAUUUAAUAUGGAGUUGGCCCACCCUUUGCAGCUAUAACAGCCUCAACUCUUCUGGGAAGGCUUUCCACAAGGUUUAGGAGUGUGUUUAUGGGAAUUUUUGACCAUUCUUCUAGAAGCACAUUUGUGAGGUCAUGCAGUGAUGUUGGCGAGAAGGCCUGGCUCGCAGUCUUCGCUCUAAUUCAUCCCAAAGGUGUUCUGUCGGGUUGAGGUCAGGACUCUGUGCAGGCCAGUCAAGUUCCUCCACACCAAACUCGCUCAUCCAUGUCUUUACGGACCUUGCUUUGUGCACUGGUGCGCAGUCAUGUUGGAACAGGAAGGGGCCAUCCCCAAACUGUUCCCACAAAGUUGGGAGCAUGAAAUUGUCCAAAAUGUCUUGGUAUGCUGAAGCAUUAAGAGUUCCUUUCACUGGAACUAACUCCACACCAUAAUCCCCCCUCCACCAAACUUUACACUUGGCAAAAUGCAGUCAGGCGAGUACCGUUCUCCUGGCAACCGCCAAACCCAGACUCGUCCAUUGGAUUGCCAGACAGAGAAGCAUGAUUCGUCACUGCAGAGAACACGUCUCCACUGCUCCAGAGUCCAGUGGCGGCGUGCUUUACACCACUGCAUCCGAUGCUUUGCAUUGCUCUUGGUGAUGUAAGGCUUGGAUGCAGCUGCUCGGCCAUGGAAACCCAUUCCAUGAAGCUCUCUACGCACUGUUCUUGAGCUAAUCUGAAGGCCACACAAAGUUUGGAGGUCUGUAGCUAUUGACUCUGCAGAAAGUUGGCGACUUCAUGCGCUGACCCCGCUCUGUGAUUUUACGUGGCCUACCACUUCGUGGCUGAGUUGCUGUUGUUCCCAAUUGCUUCCACUUUAUUAUGAUACCACUAACAGUUGAUCGUGGAAUAUUUAGUAGUGAGGAAAUUUCACGAAUGGACUUAUUGCACAGGUGGCAACCUAUCACGGUACCACGCUUGAAUUCACUGAGCUCCUGAGAGUGACCCAUUCUUUCACGAAUGUUUGUAGAAGCAGUCUGCAUGCCUAGGUGCUUGAUUUUAUACACCUGUGGCCAUAGAAGUGAUUGGAACACCUGAAUUCAAUGAUUUGGAGGGGUGUCCCAAUACUUUUGGCAAUAUAGUGUAUCUCAUCAGACUGCAUAUGCCUUCCCAAAUACACAUUAUUGGAAACCCAAAUAAACAACACAUGCAGAGACUGAAUUCAUGUAGAGCAGCAUUUACUAUGAACAGAGCCGCUCUGAAAUGCUCGUCUGUGAAAUGCGCCACUUCCAGUAUUUUGCCAGGUUAAUCAACACAGGUAAACUGCAAUCAAGGAUUUUUUU